AUGAACGCUGGCGGCGUGCCUAAUACAUGCCAGUCGCGCGAACAGACGAGGAGCUUGCUCCUCUGACGUUAGCGGCGGACGGGUGAGUAACACGUGGAUAACCUACCUAUAAGACUGGGAUAACUUCGGGAAACCGGAGCUAAUACCGGAUAAUAUAUUGAACCGCAUGGUUCAAUAGUGAAAGACGGUUUUGCUGUCACUUAUAGAUGGAUCCGCGCCGCAUUAGCUAGUUGGUAAGGUAACGGCUUACCAAGGCAACGAUGCGUAGCCGACCUGAGAGGGUGAUCGGCCACACUGGAACUGAGACACGGUCCAGACUCCUACGGGAGGCAGCAGUAGGGAAUCUUCCGCAAUGGGCGAAAGCCUGACGGAGCAACGCCGCGUGAGAGAUGAAGGUCUUCGGAUCGUAAAACUCUGUUAUUAGGGAAGAACAAAUGUGUAAGUAACUAUGCACGUCUUGACGGUACCUAAUCAGAAAGCCACGGCUAACUACGUG
rnacentral:rRNA from 1 species